rnacentral:tRNA from 1 species
UGGGGCGUCGCCAAGUUGGUAAGGCACGGGAUUUUGGUUCCCGUAUUCGUAGGUUCAAAUCCUGCCGCCCCAGCCA